UACGUAGGCAGCGAGCGUUGUUCGGAUUUACUGGGCGUAAAGGGUGUGUAGGCGGUUCUUUAAGUUUGGUGUGAAAUCUCCCGGCUCAACCGGGAGGGUGCGCCGAAUACUGAGGGACUAGAGUACGGGAGAGGAAAGUGGAAUUCCUGGUGUAGCGGUGAAAUGCGUAGAUAUCAGGAGGAACACCGGUGGUGUAGACGGCUUUCUGGACCGUAACUGACGCUGAAACACGAAAGCGUGGGUAGCAAACAGG
rnacentral:rRNA from 1 species